CGAAAAACCUUACCCACCUUUGACAUGUACGGAAUCCUUUAGAGAUAGAGGAGUGCUCGAAAGAGAGCCGUAACACAGGUGCUGCAUGGCUGUCGUCAGCUCGUGUCGUGAGAUGUUGGGUUAAGUCCCGCAACGAGCGCAACCCUUGCCAUUAGUUGCUACGAAAGGGCACUCUAAUGGGACUGCCGGUGACAAACCGGAGGAAGGUGGGGAUGACGUCAAGUCCUCAUGGCCCUUAUAGGUGGGGCUACACACGUCAUACAAUGGCUGGUACAGAGGGUUGCCAACCCGCGAGGGGGAGCUAAUCCCAUAAAGCCAGUCGUAGUCCGGAUCGCAGUCUGCAACUCGACUGCGUGAAGUCGGAAUCGCUAGUAAUCGCGGAUCAGAAUGUCGCGGUGAAUACGUUCCCGGGUCUUGUACACACCGCCCGUCACACCAUGGGAGCGGGUUCUGCCAGAAGUAGGUAGCCUAACCGUAAGGAGGGCGCUUACCACGGCAGGGUUCGUGACUGGGGUGAAGUCGUAACAAGGUAAGCGUAGAUGA
rnacentral:rRNA from 1 species